rnacentral:rRNA from 1 species
GUUAAGCGACUAAGCGUACACGGUGGAUGCCCUGGCAGUCAGAGGCGAUGAAGGACGUGCUAAUCUGCGAUAAGCGUCGGUGAGGUGAUAUGAACCGUUAUAACCGGCGAUUUCCGAAUGGGGAAACCCAGUGUGUUUCGACACACUAUCAUUAACUGAAUCCAUAGGUUAAUGAGGCGAACCGGGGGAACUGAAACAUCUAAGUACCCCGAGGAAAAGAAAUCAACCGAGAUUCCCCCAGUAGCGGCGAGCGAACGGGGAGGAGCCCAGAGCCUGAAUCAGUGUGUGUGUUAGUGGAAGCGUCUGGAAAGGCGCGCGAUACAGGGUGACAGCCCCGUACACAAAAAUGCACACAUUGUGAGCUCGAUGAGUAGGGCGGGACACGUGGUAUCCUGUCUGAAUAUGGGGGGACCAUCCUCCAAGGCUAAAUACUCCUGACUGACCGAUAGUGAACCAGUACCGUGAGGGAAAGGCGAAAAGAACCCCGGCGAGGGGAGUGAAAAAGAACCUGAAACCGUGUACGUACAAGCAGUGGGAGCCUCUUAAUGGGGUGACUGCGUACCUUUUGUAUAAUGGGUCAGCGACUUAUAUUCUGUAGCAAGGUUAACCGAAUAGGGGAGCCGAAGGG